rnacentral:rRNA from 1 species
UACGUAGGGGGCUAGCGUUGUCCGGAUUUAUUGGGCGUAAAGAGCGUGUAGGCGGCCAGGUAGGUCUGCUGUGAAAACUCGAGGCUUAACCUCGAGCUGUCGGCGGAAACCAUCUGGCUAGAGUCCGGAAGAGGAGAAUGGAAUUCCCGGUGUAGCGGUGAAAUGCGCAGAUAUCGGGAAGAACACCCGUGGCGAAGGCGGUUCUCUGGGACGGUACUGACGCUGAGGCGCGAAAGCUAGGGGAGCAAACGGG